GUAAUUCUAGAGCUAAUACAUGCUAAAAACCCAGACUUCGGGAUGGGUGUAUUUAUUAGAUAAAAAACCAACGCCCUUCGGGGCUCCUUGGUGAUUCAUAAUAACUUCACGAAUCGCAUGGCCUUGCGCCGGCGAUGGUUCAUUCAAAUUUCUGCCCUAUCAACUUUCGAUGGUAGGAUAGUGGCCUACCAUGGUGGCGACGGGUAACGGGGAAUUAGGGUUCUAUUCCGGAGAGGGAGCCUGAGAAACGGCUACCACAUCCAAGGAAGGCAGCAGGCGCGCAAAUUACCCAAUCCCAAUACGGGGAGGUAGUGACAAUAAAUACUGAUACAGGGCUCUUUUGGGUCUUGUAAUUGGAAUGAGAACAAUGUAAAUACCUUAUCGAGGAACAAUUGGAGGGCAAGUCUGGUGGACACACGUCCCAGCACUCGUUGCUGACGCCAGGGAGAUGCGGGCCGCCUCUGGCGGUCCGUCUAGUGGGCCUCUGGGCCUGCGAGGUGUCCGGCACGGGGAAGGCAUGCGCGCAUGCCAACCCCGUGGCAGGUCCUUUCGGGGGCUUGUCGUAACGCACGGAAGGGCACCGGUGGUCUCUCCCCCCCGGGGGGGGGCAAGACCGCUGAAGGGUCGCGCUAAUCCCGCCCGCAAGGGCAGACGGACCUGGAGCUCCCAGGCCCGCCGCAGGGUAACCAUUGGCCAGCAGCCGCGGUAAUUCCAGCUCCAAUAGCGUAUAUUAAAGUUGUUGCAGUUAAAAAGCUCGUAGUUGAACCUUGGGCCUGGCUGGCCGGUCCGCCUCACCGCGUGCACUGGUCCGGCCGGGCCUUUCCUUCUGGGAAGCCGCAUGCCCUUCACUGGGUGUGUCGGGGAACCAGGACUUUUACUUUGAAAAAAUUAGAGUGUUCAAAGCAGGCCUAUGCUCGAAUACAUUAGCAUGGAAUAAUAGAAUAGGACGUGCGGUUCUAUUUUGUUGGUUUCUAGGACCGCCGUAAUGAUUAAUAGGGACAGUCGGGGGUGUCAGUAUUCAAUUGUCAGAGGUGAAAUUCUUGGAUUUAUUGAAGACUAACUACUGCGAAAGCAUUCACCAAGGAUGUUUUCAUUAAUCAGUGAACGAAAGUUAGGGGAUCGAAGACGAUCAGAUACCGUCGUAGUCUUAACCAUAAACUAUGCCGACUAGGGAUCGGACGGUGUUGUUAUUUUGACCCGUUCGGCACCUUACGAGAAAUCAAAGUUUCUGGGUUCUGGGGGGAGUAUGGUCGCAAGGCUGAAACUUAAAGAUAUUGACGGAAAGGCACCACAAGGCGUGGAGCCUGCGGCUUAAUUUGACUCAACACGGGGAAACUCACCAGGUCCAGACAUGAUGAGGAUUGACAGAUUGAGAGCUCUUUCUUGAUUUUAUGGU
rnacentral:rRNA from 1 species